GACAGAGGUGCCAAGCGUUAGGCGGAAUCACUGGGCUUAAAGCGUGUGUAGGCGGAUGCCUAAGUACCUUGUGAAAUCCCACGGCUCAACCGUGGAACUGCUGGGUAUACUGGGUGUCUUGGGUCAGCUAGGGGUUGCCGGAACAAAUGGUGGAGCGGUGAAAUGCGUAGAUAUCAUUUGGAACGCCAACGGCGAAAGCAGGCAGCUGGGGAUGCACCGACGCUGAGACACGAAAGCCAGGGGAGCGAACGGG
rnacentral:rRNA from 1 species